rnacentral:rRNA from 1 species
GACGAACGCUGGCGGCGUGCUUAACACAUGCAAGUCGAACGGAAAGGCCCUGCUUUUGUGGGGUGCUCGAGUGGCGAACGGGUGAGUAACACGUGAGUAACCUGCCCUUGACUUUGGGAUAACUUCAGGAAACUGGGGCUAAUACCGGAUAGGAGCUCCUGCUGCAUGGUGGGGGUUGGAAAGUUUCGGCGGUUGGGGAUGGACUCGCGGCUUAUCAGCUUGUUGGUGGGGUAGUGGCUUACCAAGGCUUUGACGGGUAGCCGGCCUGAGAGGGUGACCGGCCACAAUGGGACUGAGAUACGGCCCAGACUCCUACGGGAGGCAGCAGUGGGGAAUAUUGCACAGUGGGCGGAAGCCUGAUGCAGCAACGCCGCGUGCGGGAUGACGGCCUUCGGGUUGUAAACCGCUUUCGCCUGUGACGAAGCGUGAGUGACGGUAAUGGGUAAAGAAGCACCGGCUAACUACGUG